ACCUGGCGGAGGCCUACCAUGCAAGUCGAGCGGAUGAAGGGAGCUUGCUCCUGGAUUCAGCGGCGGACGGGUGAGUAAUGCCUAGGAAUCUGCCUGGUAGUGGGGGAUAACGUCCGGAAACGGGCGCUAAUACCGCAUACGUCCUGAGGGAGAAAGUGGGGGAUCUUCGGACCUCACGCUAUCAGAUGAGCCUAGGUCGGAUUAGCUAGUUGGUGGGGUAAAGGCCUACCAAGGCGACGAUCCGUAACUGGUCUGAGAGGAUGAUCAGUCACACUGGAACUGAGACACGGUCCAGACUCCUACGGGAGGCAGCAGUGGGGAAUAUUGGACAAUGGGCGAAAGCCUGAUUCAGCCAUGCCGCGUGUGUGAAGAAGGUCUUCGGAUUGUAAAGCACUUUAAGUUGGGAGGAAGGGCAGUAAGUUAAUACCUUGCUGUUUUGACGUUACCAACAGAAUAAGCACCGGCUAACUUCGUGCCAGCACCNCCGGGGGNAAUANCAA
rnacentral:rRNA from 1 species